AGUGUUGUGGCUCAAAGGUAGAGUGCUCGCCUAGCAUGCGUGGGGCACUAGGUUCAAUCCUCAGCACCACAU
rnacentral:tRNA from 1 species